UUUGAGAGGUGCCGUGAUUCCAUGUUUACAAUUUCACUUGAGUACCACACAGAAACAGGGUUGCCCUUACACCUGAGGUGCAUUUUUGGAGGAACAAGAAGUAGUUUAGUCAUUGAUGAACAGUUCUAAUUCCACCUAACUACUCCUGGGCCCAUGUUGCUCUCUGGGACCUGUCCUUCAACUUAAAUCUCAACUUAUCACCCAG
rnacentral:lncRNA from 10 species